GACGAACGCUGGCGGCGUGCUUAACACAUGCAAGUCGUACGGUAAGGCCCUUUCGGGGGUACACGAGUGGCGCACGGGUGAGUAACACGUGAGUAACCUGCCCACAACUUUGGGAUAACGCUAGGAAACUGGUGCUAAUACUGGAUAUGUGCUCCUGCUGCAUGGUGGGGGUUGGAAAGCUCCGGCGGUUGUGGAUGGACUCGCGGCCUAUCAGCUUGUUGGUGGGGUAGUGGCCUACCAAGGCGGCGACGGGUAGCCGGCCUGAGAGGGUGACCGGCCACAUUGGGACUGAGAUACGGCCCAGACUCCUACGGGAGGCAGCAGUGGGGAAUAUUGCACAAGGGGCGCAAGCCUGAUGCAGCAACGCCGCGUGCGGGAUGACGGCCUUCGGGUUGUAAACCGCUUUCAGCAGGGACGAAGCUUUUUGUGACGGUACCUGCAGAAGAAGCACCGGCUAACUACGUG
rnacentral:rRNA from 1 species